UCCUCCCUAGAUAGGGGGAAAGAGGCUGACGGUGUGUAUGUCUACGACUGUCAGUGUCUGAGCUCUUCGAGAGGCGGCGGAUCUGCUUGGAGGAAUAGAGUACUGUAAGUAUAAUGAGACAUACUCUGAAAGUAUAAAUUCGAUUUUUGCUGGGCGUCAGUUGAACAUUAUUUCACGUGUGCGUUUCGCGCACAUAGAAACCACAUUAAUUUAGCAAACAGACUGACCAAAGGAACACAUGUUCAGACCGCUAACGUUAACUUAGCAAGCAGACUGACCGAAGGAACACAUGUUCAGACCGCUAACGUUAACUUAGCAAGCAGACUGACCAAAUGAACACAUGUUCACCAAAGGGAAGAGUGCAGACUGGCCAAAGCUAGCUCUAAUCAUUUGCUUUUCACUCCACUGUUGUAACAUAAGUUAGCAAGCAAGCAUGGUUAAUUGUCUAGCUGUCCACAGAGAAAAUAUUUGAAUAUUUCCCUAGGUAGAUUGCCAGAUAUCUCUGAAAUGGUGCGGUCAAGUUUAGAGGUAAACAUGGGUAACUUAGCAAUAUACUCCUCUGCAGUUUGAAUGAAAUUGUAUAGCUACAUAUUUUAUUCCGUUGAUAUGUAGGCCUAAUGGUGCAUGCUGAUAAUUUGUAUUGUACAAUUUCAUUGUCAACAGUAAGUUCAUCUGGGACCUCAUUUGGCACUUCAAGGGGUUGAGUAGGCCUACACCAUGUUGAUGGUGAGCUAGCUAAUAUACAAAGAAUAAUGCAUUAUAAUUAAUAUUAUAAUAUCAUUUAUAACCAAGUGUAAAGUAAGAGUGUGCCUCCGAUGACUGACAUAUCACUUUUCUGUUAUAGCCUAACUUACUUGUGCAUAAGCCUAGUAUACUUAAAAUAUUAGACCACAUGACACAAGCUAAGCUGAUCUAUUGGUUUAGAAUGUAUUUUUUCUAUAGCUGAAGUUCCAAGGCUAUUUGGUGCCUAUAAUAACCAAACCAGGUCAAGGCGUCAACCAAGUAUCAUCCAAACAAACCCACUUACACCCUCACAUUUUGCUGUCUUGGGCGGAAAUGCACAACUACUGUCCCAAGCAGGAUUGGUAAAGAGCACCUCCAGCGAGUGGGGUUGGGUGAGGGGCGCCUGAACUUUCGAGGUAUGCCAUCUGACAAAAGAAUCGUGGUCACAUCACUUGAUAGACAAAAGGGAGCCCUUAACCAGACGUUUAAAGUCAAUCAACAGAGUGAACCAAAUUGUUUUGUGCAAUAUUUUGACAAUUUGAUUUAUGGUGUGCAUAGGCAUGCACAAAUCUAAGUUUUAGAACAUAUAACUGUAAUGUAUAGAGAGUUUCUUGUUGAAUUAUGAAGAGAUUCUUGCAUAUUUGAAUCACAUUUGCAUAGUGUAUAAUACUGACCUUAGAUCGACACCUGUACCUGUAAAUCCUACUCAUGUGAUUAAAGCUAGUCUGGGCAUGUAGUUAUCAAGCUUCUCAGAGUAUGGGUGCAGAUCUAGGGUCAGUUUUUCUAUCUAGCAAAGAAUAAGGAUAGAAUAUAGACAGGGGAAAUUUGAUCAUAGAUCUUCACCAUAGUGCAAGAAGUUGGACAGCUGGCCCAAAUAUCACACCAUUUUGAAGGUCCUGUCAGUUAGAGAUGUACACUCACCGGCCACUUUAUUAGGUACAUCUGCGUGUUAACGCAAAUAGCCUGCUCCUUCGAACAGCGAUUAUAAUGUGGCUGCCUGCAACUCAAUCUAUAGAGUAGAGAGCUUUAGUUGUUGUUUGACCAAACAGAACGGGCAAGAUGUGUAAUCCAAGAAACCUUGACCGUGGUAUGAUUGUUGGUGCCACACACGGUGGUUCCAGCAUCUCAGAAACAGCUGCCCUCCUGGGAUUGUUACGCACUACAGUCUCUAGAGUUUACAGAGAAUGGUGCGAUAAGUGAGUGGCUGUUCUGUGGGCAAAAACGCCUUGUUAAUGAGAGAGGUCAGAGGAGAAUGUCCAUACUCAUUUUAUUGUUCAGAAAUGUGGUGGGUACUUUCUUCGUUCGCUGGACUUUAUCCUGCUAACUGUUCCAAAUGUCCGAACUGAAUUUGGUAAAAGGGCUUUUAUGUACUCUGCGCCAUCGUCUUGGAACGCCUUACAAAAUACUUUUAAACUGGAAGAACUUGUCCCGAUUGGUAUUUUUUAAAUCACUGAUGAAUGAUCUUGAGACUGAUUCCCUGACCUGUCAAUGUUUUUAAUUUGCUGUUUUUGAUUUUGUUAUACUCUUGUGAAUUCAAUGGUUUUUACUAGAUUACUUGUAGUUUUUCGUGUCUGUCUGUAAUUUUUGUAAUGACUUGGUGCUGCCUAUCUUGGCCAGGACGCUCUUGAAAAAGAGAUUUUAAAUCUCAAUGAGCCCUUCCUGGUUAAAUAAAGGUAAAAAAAUAUAUAUAUUUUUUAAAUUAAGCUAACAGAAAGGCCACAAAUGCUCAAAUAACAGCUGUUUAAAACAGUGGUGUGCGGAAGGGCAUCUCUUAAUGUACAACACCGUGAAUAAUUCAGGCUGUUGUGGAGGCAGAAGGGGGUUCUACCCAGUACUAGAUAGGUGUACCUAAUAAAAUGUGUAAUAAAAAGUGUAUAUAAUGAUAAAAAUCAGGUUUGCAAGUUAUGUAUAUAUUUUUUUUGUCAUUAUCUCACAGGUAAUCAAGAAAGUUCACAAGUUAAUUUUAACUUUGUUUCCAAAGUUGAGAGACAGGUUCGAGCUGUUGAAAAUGUCUGGAUCUACACAGAGCCAUCAUCUUAUACCUGUCCCAUGCCCCAAUCAGGGCUACAGUGUGAGAUAUCUGAAAGACCCUUGUCUCGUGCUACUCUGUACAUUCGCCCGCUGUAAAGGAAUUUGCGUAUGGAGCAUGAACUAAAUGAUUGAGUUGUUGCUCAAUGUGGACCCCUGACACAAUGUGGACCCCUGACACAAUGCCUAAACUGUGAAGAACAACUUUACUUUACACAAAUAAGAAGGCACAGUGAAGCCUGCUCAAGGUAAUGCUCUGAAUGGGAAAUUAAUCAUGGUGAUGUUGGGAAAAUAUGAUAUUCUCCAUUUAUGGAAGGUGCACUCAUUACAAAUGAUGGUAUGGCCAUGUUGCACAUCAAUAACAACUCUUAAGUAGUUUCAUAAUUUGUUAGUUCAGACGUGGAAUAGGCACAAUUUAAUUGAGCAGUUAUGGGUGUUAAUUUUUUGGGUCAUUGUUGCUGUACAUUUCUUUCUGAUAAAGAUGAUAAUUACAACACUUCACUAUCAGGCUGGGAGCUGUUGUAGAGUGGUGUUAUGAAAAUAUUCUGUUUAGAUAACUGUUAGUAUCUGAUACAACUAACUCCUCGGCUCAACUCGUCAAGUCAAUCACAGGUUGAAAGGGCGGGAGAGAAUGGAAGGGAGGAUGAAGGUGCAGCUAUCCCUAGAGCCGGCGGGACAAGUUCCUCCACCGGUCAGCAUCCAGUUGUAGAUUUGGUAAUGGAGGAGUGUCUGGAGACAGGUUCAGAUGAGGGUUUAUAUUCUGAAGGUUUACAGAUCACUUUUAAGGGAUAAGUUAUUUAGCACAUCUUAGGGCUAGUUAUUAAUGUUAAUGUACAAUUUUCAGGUGUAGUACUUUUUAUAUGAUACAUUUAGUUGAAUUCAAUCGUCUUUACAAACACUUACAUUCAAUACACUAACACUCACCUCGUGAAGAUGGUGUGGACAUAAUGAUGCAUACUGAUGAUUUAAUAUUUUUAAUAACAACAGCUAGUUCAUCUGACACUUCAGCAGCAAGUGGUCCAGUAUACACCGUUGAUGGUAAGUACAAUGUUCAAGUGGUCCAGUAUACACCGUUGAUGGUAAGUACAGUGUUCAAGUGGUCCAGUAUACACCGUUGAUGGUAAGUACAGUGUUCAAGUGGUCCAGUAUACACCGUUGAUGGUAAGUACAGUGUUCAAGUGGUCCAGUAUACACCGUUGAUGGUAAGUACAAUGUUCAAGUGGUCCAGUAUACACCGUUGAUGGUAAGUACAGUGUUCAAGUGGUCCAGUAUACACCGUUGAUGGUAAGUACAGUGUUCAAGUGGUCCAGUAUACACCGUUGAUGGUAAGUACAGUGUUCAAGUGGUCCAGUAUACACCGUUGAUGGUAAGUACAAUGUUCAAGUGGUCCAGUAUACACCGUUGAUGGUAAGUACAAUGUUCAAGUGGUCCAGUAUACACCGUUGAUGGUAAGUACAAUGUUCAAGUGGUCCAGUAUACACCGUUGAUGGUAAGUACAGUGUUCAGAAGAACGUAUUAUUUAGUAUACUGUAUCAACUGUCUCUGAUGGUUAAAGUUUACACAAACAUUUAUUUACUUGUCACACCUCAUUGGACUGCUAAUUCUUGCACGUUUUGGACAUUGCAGGUGAUUUAGUGAAUCAUUUAAUUUGCAGUAUAGACACUGUUUUGGGUAUGCGUCUAUUACUGCAUUUCUCUGAGAUAACAUUAUAUUGCUGUUAUGCUUGGGUUACAGAACCAGAUCCGGUCAAGGCAGCUCAGCUGUUCACAUACUGGACACUUCAGUCCAACAAGGACAAAGACCACCUGACCUUGAGGGAUUCCUUAGUGGAAAGGAACAGGGCCAUAAUCCUUUUCUCAACUAUGGCAUCCAAUGGCUAGGUUUGCUGAGCUUGUCUAACUCUACAUUGACUGAUUUCAAAUAUGUUUACAAGGUGACUCUGCCAUUGGAGAGGGGGUCACCAGGUAUGUCCUGUCCACUGUCAUGGAAAAUCUUCAAAAUGGAUUCCUACUUGAUGAAGAGAAAGGUAUUUUUAGUAUAUUGAUUUAUAGACUUGUAGAUGAUGUGAAACCGUUUUUCCCCAGGUCAUUCAAAAGGACAUCUGUUUAUUUAUGAAGAACUUGCUCUUUGAGGGUGAGCAGGACCAUCUUGUUCCUUCCACAUCUCAGGCACUUUUGGAAAGUCUUUUUUUUGUAGUAGUAGUAGCUGGGUGCAUGAUUGGGCACUUUUAACAUUUUAUUAUUAUUUAUUUCUUUAAGUGGUGGCCCACACCUUGCAGGACUAAGCCCUACUAUCAAACAUGUACUGUUUGGCAGAGAACCAGAGACGGCACCGAUAACCUUAUCUGACUGCGUGGACCAUGUCCGGGAUGUCAUCCAGUUGGUUCGGAGAAACAUUUUUAUCUUUUGUAUAUAUAUUUUUGUAGGUUCAUCAGAGGUCCUGAAGAGUGCUUUUUUUCUUCUUCUGAAGCUGUCAAAAUACUAUGACUUAUGAGGAUUUUGAAAAAGAUCUGAUGGCAAGCAUCUCCUCAUCCUACUCUGGGUUUUGUCUGUUUUGAUUCAAAGCCCUGCAGGAAGACACAAUGUUCACAUCAGCUCAAAAGUUUUAUAGAGCUUUUUAUUGUUAUUUGAUAUACUUGACACUAGGUAUAGAGUUUAGUAAACAGUGAUACAGACACUUUGAUAAAGUGGCUUACAUUUUACAUCCUACAUUCUAACAGUAAUGGUUAACCCCAACAAAUUUAAGCUGUACAAUUUGAAAGAUUAGAGAGAGCUAGGUUAAAGGUAGUGCUCAGUACCUCGUCAAUUCUAGAUCCUAUUGGAGGAGGAACCUGAAGCCGAGGGGCCAGUUCAAAGGCCUACCCUCCAUAUAUACUCCCAUUAUCCCUAUUUAAAAGUCCUGUCUUAAAAGGUUUCCUCAAGGAAGUGCCUAGGCAGUCAAGUAGCAGAAGAGAAAUGUGCCUUUUAGAAGCUCAGAGUAGUUGGCUAAUCCAAAUUGAUGGCCACAGAGGAAAAUAAUUGCUGGUUGUAAAUAAAAAAAAUUAAAGGAAUUUCUAGGAAAUGGUGAUAUUAAUGCACUGCCUCAUUUCUAUACUGGAUAAAGGAAUUAAGGACAUAAGGACAAAUAUUGAGUUGGUAUGUGUUGUGGGUCCCUCUCAAAGAAACCCAUGUUAAUUGUGACUAACUCCUCUUUAUAGAUGGCAAACAAUUUACUUUUGAAGCCAGGUGGGGUUUUCCAACUGUGGGAAACAUACUGUAUUAGGGAAUAUUGUGUGGUAUAUCAGAAUUCCCAUGCACUUGUUCUAUGCCUGGCUGCACUACAAGGUGAACUGUAAGGCAAGUUACCCUCAAACUGUACAAGAGACUGAAUUAAACUGAUGCUUCAUCUGA